AGGCAGGUGCGGGAGGCAUGUGGGACCUGGGGCCCCUGUCGGGGCUGCCCGCGACUCCAGGCCCUCACAGAUGCCUGGCGGCUCCGAGGUCGGAGCUGUGUGUGCUGUGAGGGGUACCCAGAGCAGGCCCCAGCCUGGAGAUACGCUGGGCAGUGGCCUCCCAUGCGCGCACAGCCUGAGGAUUAGAACUGGUGAAACUGGGUUCUCCUCCGGACGCCGUGACCUGGGGCAAGGUGAGGAAGCAGGCAGUGGGCGAGAAGAUGGAUUCCUUUUUGGACAGACAAGACCAGAGAGUGAAGCGGGAAUAACUCAUCCUCCCUACCUCCCCAGCAAGGAAACCUCUACAAACAGGAGCAGCCAAGCAGGACUGAGGCCCUUGCCCCCCAAGCAUCUUCUCAAAGAAGGGCAUGUGGGGGCCUGACAGCUCAGCUGCAUGUGUCAGCAGCUCCAGCCCCACCAUGAACAUCUGAACUCCUCAGCGGGGUAAUGGACCCCCUCCUUUCCCCCGGAGACACAGCCUGAGUGGCAGGAAUACAGAGCCUUUGGAGAGUGG
ensembl:lncRNA novel transcript, antisense to MACROD1